GCUGUCGUUGUGUAGUGGUUAUCACAUCUGCUUUACACGCAGAAGGUCCUCGGUUCGAUCCCGGGCGAUAGCA
rfam:Conidiobolus coronatus NRRL 28638 unplaced genomic scaffold CONCOscaffold_6, whole genome shotgun sequence.